CAGUGGGGAAUAUUGCACAAUGGGCGCAAGCCUGAUGCAGCGACGCCGCGUGCGGGAUGGAGGCCUUCGGGUUGUAAACCGCUUUUGUUCAAGGGCAAGGCAGGCUUUCGGGUCNUGUUGAGUGGAUUGUUCGAAUAAGCACCGGCUAACUACGUGCCAGCAGCCGCGGUAAUACGUAGGGUGCGAGCGUUAUCCGGAUUUAUUGGGCGUAAAGGGCUCGUAGGCGGUUCGUCGCGUCCGGUGUGAAAGUCCAUCGCCUAACGGUGGAUCUGCGCCGGGUACGGGCGGGCUGGAGUGCGGUAGGGGAGACUGGAAUUCCCGGUGUAACGGUGGAAUGUGUAGAUAUCGGGAAGAACACCAAUGGCGAAGGCAGGUCUCUGGGCCGUCACUGACGCUGAGGAGCGAAAGCGUGGGGAGCGAACAGGAUUAGAUACCCUGGUAGUCCACGCCGUAAACGGUGGAUGCUGGAUGUGGGGCCCUUUCCACGGGUCCCGUGUCGGAGCCAACGCGUUAAGCAUCCCGCCUGGGGAGUACGGCCGCAAGGCUAAAACUCAAAGAAAUUGACGGGGGCCCGCACAAGCGGCGGAGCAUGCGGAUUAAUUCGAUGCAACGCGAAGAACCUUACCUGGGCUUGACAUGUGCCGGAUCGCCCCGGAAACGGGGUUUCCCUUCGGGGCCGGUUCACAGGUGGUGCAUGGUCGUCGUCAGCUCGUGUCGUGAGAUGUUGGGUUAAGUCCCGCAACGAGCGCAACCCUCGCCGCAUGUUGCCAGCGGGUGAUGCCGGGAACUCAUGUGGGACCGCCGGGGUCAACUCGGAGGAAGGUGGGGAUGACGUCAGAUCAUCAUGCCCCUUACGUCCAGGGCUUCACGCAUGCUACAAUGGCCGGUACAACGCGAUGCGACACGGUGACGUGGGGCGGAUCGCUGAAAACCGGUCUCAGUUCGGAUCGCAGUCUGCAACUCGACUGCGUGAAGGCGGAGUCGCUAGUAAUCGCGGAUCAGCAACGCCGCGGUGAAUGCGUUCCCGGGCCUUGUACACACCGCCCGUCAAGUCAUGAAAGUGGGUAGCACCCGAAGCCGGUGGCCCGACCCUCGUGGGGGGA
rnacentral:rRNA from 1 species